rnacentral:rRNA from 1 species
AGCGAACGCUGGCGGCGGGCUUAACACAUGCAAGUCGAGCGCUUCACUUCGGUGAAGAGCGGCGGACGGGUGAGUAACACGUAGGUUACCUGCCCCUGGGUGAGGGACAACCGAGGGAAACCUCGGCUAAUACCACAUAUGGUCUACGGAUCAAAGGCUUCGGCCGCCCGGGGAUGGGCCUGCGUCCCAUUAUUUAAUCCUAGUUGGCGGGGUAACGGCCCACCAAGGGUACGAUGGGUAGCUGGUCUGAGAGGAUGAUCAGCCACACUGGAACUGAGACACGGUCCAGACUCCUACGGGAGGCAGCAGUGGGGAAUAUUGCGCAAUGGGCGAAAGCCUGACGCAGCCACGCCGCGUGAGUGAUGAAGGCCCCAGGGUCGUAAAGCUCUGUCGGGGGGGAAGAAGUUCUGACGGUACCCCCCGAAGAAAGCACCGGCUAACUCCGUG